UAUCUUUGAUUUGUAUCUGCAAUUCAUCUACUUCUAAUACCAGUAUCACCAAUUCGCCGCGAGUUACGUCCCUUUGCGGGGUCAACCAAAGGUCAAUCGAUGAAAAAACAAGUCUUCCUUCUUUACCUUACCAAAUGUAAGACGUUAUUACUUUGAAUUUUAGCCAAUUACCAAGUUUUCAUACAAGUUAAUGGGUUACCCCAAUCUGGGGCAUUAUUGUAGUUGACUGCAAUUAAUGGAAAAAUAACAGAUGUCAAAGCUACAGAAAAGACAAUUACAAAGGCCAAUGUAGGGAAAUACGAUUUUUAACCGGGAGAUGGCGGACAAUGGACGCAACUUGCGCGAAGUGUUGAUACGUGUAUACUCAUGAAUAUACACACCAGUUUAACGGAAAAACACUAGAUGCACAUAGGAAACAAAAUAAAUGCGAUAGGAAGAAAUACAAUUUCUCUGAAGAAAACGGAAGGGUAUAAGAAAUAAAUAAAAAACUUCCAGGAGGCCGAUGUUACAAAAUAAUGGGGGAUAUGCAAUCUGGAUAAAGCUUGUUAUUUUGUGCAGGUUUUACAAAGUACUUCGGUGUUUUCUUUCUCGUAUAUUAGAUUACUUCUUUAAACUGUUCAUUUCAUAUAGCUUUUUCGUUUUAUUUCGUCAUUUGUCGAUAACAGACGUACAAAGAAAUAUUGAUAUCAAUGUAAUGUCAUCGUCAAGACCGAAGGAAUAAAUAUGCUUUGCGCACCUAGGAAUUCGAAAUCUAAGAGCCCGUAUUACAGGACAGGAGAGGCUGAUUCAGUAGCCAAAUCAAGAGAUGUGGUACGGGUAACGGUAACGGUAAAGACGGCGACUAAUACAAUAUUGUAUAUCGCAUAUGCAACGUGCACCGCAGAACAGGAAAACACUUUUUUGGUAACCAAACCCGGUAUGCGCCAUUAUAUCUGCCGACGAAUAUUAAAUUAUUUCUACGUAGAUAUGAGGCUAGAAAGCGGAAAUGUGAGAACUUGUGUGAUUGCCUAGAUUUUACACGCUGGAUAAAAACAAACACCACGUGUGUUUUCUUCCACUCUUUACAGGCAAACAGUUUACAGUUAUAGACUGGAUCCGAGGAUUCAGCUGUUUUGUUUGGCCCAAGAACGGAUCAAUUGCCCAAAGCUGUAGGCUAAAACCCCCCAGCUAAGACACAGAUUUCAACUAUUUUGUUAAACACCUACGUUUUUAACGUUGUUUCUACUAGACGUACAUGGUCUGUCAUGGUUUGUUGACUUUGAAUUGAUAACAAGACAAUGUAAUUGCGUACGUUUAUCAACGUAUCCACUAGUUUAAAAGAAAAUAUACCCAAUAUUCUACAGAAUUAAUAAUCAUUAAUUCAAUUUUUCCUAUUUCUCCUCUGCAUUUUAUCGAGAAAAAUCUGUAUAUCAUCAGGUGUCAACCAAAUAAAUGAACCUCGCCAUUGUGUAUAUAAACAAAGCAGCAGGUCAAAAACCACGUGACUUGCGUAGCCAAUGGAAAUGGAGCAGACUAUUGCCCGGCCAACAGUUAUCGGUCAAUAGACCACAAGUGUGAGAGUUAGUUUAACAGUUCAAAUGUUUGUUCUAAAUCGCAUUAGUUUAAUAUAGGAAAAAAAAUCAAGAGUUUAGCAAAUUAUAAUAUGCAUUUUCUAUUUUGUAAUGGCAAAAUUUGGUUUCUGAGACAAUGAAAUCAAAAAUAGCAGUUACAUAUGACCAUGUUUGAAAAUUUGUGUACGAUUCUACGAGUGGAGUUGAGUUCAAGCUAGAAUGGGAGAUUGAAGCUACCAUAUCAAUGUAAGUAUCUAGACACAACUUUUUCCGAGGUCGAGUAAAAAAACCAUAUCAAUUUUAAUCAAGUUAUAUUAUACUUACUGACCAUGCAAAUCCAAUUUUAAGAAUCACUGUAUGUGUGUCAUCACAGACAGGUAAAAAUGAAUAUAAAAAUAAUUGAGAAGUUAAUUAUCUCACCUCUUUCAGAUUUCAAUUGGAGUCAACCACACAAUAUUUAAUCGUCUUUGUGACUGUGUGAAUGGCCAGGAUAAAUGCUACCACAAAACUUCACUUUUGUUAUAUGGUAGGUGUUCCUAAGCCGGGUGACGUAAUAUGCAUAGGAACUAGAUCAUGGUGACAAAAUUCCAUAAGGAUUGUAAAAAUUGAUGUAUCAAUAUGUAAGCAAGACUGAUGCCAGGGCAUCGUGGGUACAGCAUCCAAAAAGUGCACUGCCAAAAACAACUAAACUAAUGGAGGAGUUAUUUCCAACUCCACCUAAGUAGCAGAUAUAGCAAUCGACCAGAGAAAUAAUCACAUGUGGGUAUGGUACGAAAAAAUUAGACUAACAACAUCACAUCUUGGUUUAGUGCUUGUAGGAUGGGGAUGGAACAGGUAUCCCCAUCGUUGUUUAAACAGCUCAUGACCUUAUACCAUUUCUCAACAAGAAAGGCCAUUAUUUGGAGUAUAAACAAUGAAUGUGUUGCAAAAGAAAAGUACUGUUCCUAUGGAUAUGCUGUAGUUUCAAAUACAGAUAGAACUCUUUUUUUCAACUUUCUUUCAUGUAUUGUUGUAUAUGCUACCAAAACUGUCAUGUUAAUUCCUAUUAUGUCAUAUGUAUCUAGCGUUUUGUAAAGAUCACUUUGUUCAGGUAGUCACAUGUAAGCAACAUAUGUUGUCAAACGUUCUAUUUUUAUUUGACCCUUUAGCUUGUAAAAAGGCCUCUUGUUAGAAUGUACUGCAUAUAUAUCUAUAUUCAGAUGUUUGAAUUCGGAGUCUAAUGACGAUAGAAGGAAAUAAAAACAGUUAUAAAUAAUAUAGAUAUUUGUGCAUUGUUUGCUUUUUUAUUCAGAAAAAGUUUUAAUCCGAUUGAUAAAUAAUUAUUCUUACGUUCCGUAGAUUUGAGGUCCGCAUUCUUAUUUUUAUGUUUAUCAAGUAUGAAUCAUGUUGUGUUAAAGACACUAACUUCUGUGAUCAUUGUUAUUGUGAUCAGUUUUAAUAUAUAUAUUGUUAUAAAUAUAGAUUGUAUUUAGGUAUGUAUUUAGAAUAUGUAUUUAUAUAGGUAUGUAUUUAACUAAUUCAAUGAUGUGUUGACACCACGGACUAAUAAAUCAUGAGAAAAACAAAAA